rnacentral:rRNA from 1 species
UACGAAGGGGGCGAGCGUUGUUCGGAUUUACUGGGCGUAAAGGGCGCGCAGGCGGCAGAUCAAGUCAGAUGUGAAAGCCCCGGGCUCAACCUGGGAACUGCAUUUGGGACUGGUUUGCUAGAGAUCGGGAGAGGAGAGUGGAAUUCCCAGUGUAGAGGUGAAAUUCGUAGAUAUCUAGAGGAACACCAGAGGCGAAAGCGAAUCACUGGACAGAACCUGACGCUGAGGCACGAAAGCUAGGGGAGCAAACGGG